rnacentral:rRNA from 1 species
UACGUAGGGUGCGAGCGUUGUCCGGAAUUACUGGGCGUAAAGAGCUCGUAGGUGGUUUGUCGCGUUGUUCGUGAAAACUCACAGCUUAACUGUGGGCGUGCGGGCGAUACGGGCAGACUGGAGUACUGCAGGGGAGACUGGAAUUCCCGGUGUAGCGGUGAAAUGCGCAGAUAUCGGGAAGAACACCCGUGGCGAAGGCGGCUCUCUGGGACGGUACUGACGCUGAGACGCGAAAGCGUGGGGAGCGAACAGG